AUAGCGUAUAUUAAAAUUGUUGCAGUUAAAAAGCUCGUAGUUGGAUUUCUGGUUCGGCGCACUUGGCCCGUCUCGGUUUACGGGAUUGCGUGCCGGUGUGCGCCAUCCAUCCUUCGAGAGAACACUUCUACCCUUUACUGGGUCGGGAGUGCUAUCUCGAUCUUUUACUUUGAAAAAAUUAGAGUGUUUAAAGCAGGCUUGCGCUAUGAAUACAUUAGCAUGGAAUAAUAAUUUAGGACUUUGGUCUUAUUUUGUUGGUUUCUAGGACUAAAGUAAUGAUUGAUAGGGACAGUUGGGGGUGCUAGUAUUCAGCGGCCAGAGGUGAAAUUCUUGGAUUCGCUGAAGACUAACUUAUG
rnacentral:rRNA from 1 species